AAUUCUCCAGUCCGUCUCCGGCCGGCCCGCGGGUCAGACUCUUGGAAAAGGACCUUCCAGGAGGAGGGAGCGAAUGCAAGCCUUGCUCGGCGGCUCUCUAAAUGUGGGCGCCUUUUGACAGCCAUUUUCACUCCAUCCCGUCCCCCCGCUGGGGACCACCUCUGGCCCCGGAGGCACGGGCGCGGCCGCAGGAGCGGGCUGCGGGGCCCGCGAAACAAAGAACUUCGAGCGGGACGUACCUGCGGCAGCAGCGGCUGUCAAGUCCCCGAACUUCCCAUAGACCCGCGGACGGGACGCGAGCGGGCGGCUCCGGGCUCCGCGCGGCCGCGGGCGGCUCCGGCUACCGCGAGCGGCCGGGCUGGGCGCAGGGUGCGCCCGCCGCGGGCAUGGUGCGGCGCGGGCGGCCGCGGGGCGCGCGGGGAAGGCGGGAGAGCGGCGCGGGCGAGUGGGAACGGCGGGUGUGCGCGAGUGCGAGUGUGCGAGCGCGCCGGUGGCGCUGCCCCUGCCCGCUCCCUCCCGCUCGUGCAACUCCGGCAUCAGUUUCGGGGAUCGUGUAAUCCGAUCCCUUCUGACUCACAGGCCCUGAGUGACAGUUCUGAUUUGGUUCAACCGCGGGAGGGAGGGGAAAGAGAAAGAAAGAAACCCCCAGCCGUACGCCUCUCCUGGCAUCCAAUCGACUUUCUGGAAAAAGGUCCCAUCCCGGCCUGGAACCCCGUGCUGGGUGGAGAAGCCCCCCGCCCCGACCCUGCGCCGCCUGCGCUACUCACGGGGUGGAAAAGUUGUCCCUCGGCUCCGCGCUCCCCUCCCGCGCGCUCCCUCCUUCCCUCCUCUCCUCCUCUUCCUCCUCCUCCCCGCGCUCCUCCUCCCCCAAGUUUUAACAGAUGUUGCCGGACUCUCCUCGCUGCCUCGCACUCCCUCUUCCUCCGCCCCCUCCCCCGCCCCGUCCCUUUUCUUUCAGCCACUCUCCGGCUCGGAGGGGACGCGCUGAGCAGUAGGACGCCUGCCGCCGCAGGGGGCGAAGUUGGGAAAACUUGGAGUGCUGCUCGCCUUACUUUUGCUUUCUCGCUCCUUCCAGGCCGCGCCGGGGGCCCGCGCUUCUCCCGCCCGCCGGGUCCCCAAGCCCGGAGUGGGUCCCAGCUGCGAGACGGGCGGCGGCGGCUGGGAGGCGGCGCGUCGCGGGCCGGGGUCGGGGGCUGGGGGGAGCCCGGCCGCCGCGAGCCACGCGCGCGCUCCCUCCCGCCCUCCGCCUCCUCCUCCUCCUCCUCCUCCUCCUCCCUCCCCGGUCUUCACACAGACACAUUCAUGUCUGCUCCUCCUCUUCCCCCUCCUUGA
rnacentral:lncRNA from 1 species